rnacentral:rRNA from 1 species
CAGUAGCCGCGGGAAUACGUAGGGUGCAAGCGUUAAUCGGAAUUACUGGGCGUAAAGCGUGCGCAGGCGGUUAUAUAAGACAGAUGUGAAAUCCCCGGGCUCAACCUGGGAACUGCAUUUGUGACUGUAUAGCUAGAGUACGGCAUAGGGGGAUGGAAUUCCGCGUGUAGCAGUGAAAUGCGUAGAUAUGCGGAGGAACACCGAUGGCGAAGGCAAUCCCCUGGGCCUGUACUGACGCUCAUGCACGAAAGCGUGGGGAGCAAACAGGAUUAGAGACCCCCGUAGUCCCUGUCUCUUAUAC